rnacentral:rRNA from 1 species
AACGAACGCUGGCGGCAGGCUUAACACAUGCAAGUCGAGCGAGACCUUCGGGUCUAGCGGCGGACGGGUGAGUAACGCGUGGGAACGUGCCCUUCUCUACGGAAUAGCCCCGGGAGACUGGGAGUAAUACCGUAUACGCCCUUUGGGGGAAAGAUUUAUCGGAGAAGGAUCGGCCCGCGUUGGAUUAGGUAGUUGGUGGGGUAAUGGCCCACCAAGCCGACGAUCCAUAGCUGGUUUGAGAGGAUGAUCAGCCACACUGGGACUGAGACACGGCCCAGACUCCUACGGGAGGCAGCAGUGGGGAAUCUUAGACAAUGGGGGCAACCCUGAUCUAGCCAUGCCGCGUGAGUGAUGAAGGCCUUAGGGUUGUAAAGCUCUUUCAGCUGGGAAGAUAAUGACGGUACCAGCAGAAGAAGCCCCGGCUAACUCCGUG